UAUGACGACAGCACAGGGGUCCUGCCAAGGGUGGGGAGAAAUAUCUGUAUUCCUCAGAUCCUGUGUAUCUUCCUUUUAUAAUUAUUAUAAUUAUUCAUUAAAUCUCUCAGAUUUCCAGUUAGUCAAACACAUCUCGUGCUGAGGGAAUAUUCAGUGCCUGCAAUAGAAUGGGCUUCACCUGCUUCUACCUGCUUUUUGAGCAGCUGGGAAAGUAAUUGCUGGUGGAAACACAUGGACACAGUGAGCUUCAGCACCGCCAGGACUGCAUCAGGCCAUGUGGUUAACUUGAACUGCAUGGGUUUGGAUUCCCUCUCUUAAUUCUGAACCCACAACAUAAGGGGAGCAUAUUUCCCUGCUCCCACAUCAUUAUUUGCAAUCACUGUUAUCCAAAUAAUCUGGUUCAUAGAUAAAAACUCUUUAAAAAACAUGCUGGAAGAAAGACAAUAGAUCAGCUAACAAUAGACUGGCUAAUCAUUUAGGAAAACUAAUAAAAUA